AUCAACUUUCGAUGGUAGGAUAGAGGCCUACCAUGGUGGUAACGGGUAACAGGGUGUUAGGGCACGACACCGGAGAGGGAGCCUGAGAAACGGCUACCACAUCCAAGGAUGGCAGCAGGCGCGCAAAUUACCCAAUCCCGACACGGGGAGGUAGUGACAAUAAAUAACAAUACGGGGUUCUUUAGGAUCUCGUAAUUGGAAUGAGUACAAUUUAAAUCUCUUAACGAGGAACAAUUGGAGGGCAAGUCUGGUGCCAGCAGCCGCGGUAAUUCCAGCUCCAAUAGCGUAUAUUAAAGUUGUUGCAGUUAAAAAGCUCGUAGUUGAAUUUCGGGGUUAGUAGGUUGGUCAUGCCUCUGGUAUGUACUGGUCUCACUGAUUCCUCCUUCCUGAUGAACCUUAAUGCCAUUAAUUUGGUGUUUUGGGGAAUUUGGACUGUUACUUUGAAAAAAUUAGAGUGUUUAAAGCAAGCUAACGCUUGAAUACAUUAGCAUGGAAUAAUGAAAUAGGACGUUCGAUCCUAUUUUGUUGGUUUCUAGGAUUGACGUAAUGAUUAAUAGGGAUAGUUGGGGGCAUUAGUAUUCAAUUGUCAGAGGUGAAAUUCUUGGAUUUAUUGAAGACUAACUACUGCGAAAGCAUUUGCCAAGGAUGUUUUCAUUAAUCAAGAACGAAAGUUAGGGGAUCGAAGACGAUCAGAUACCGUCGUAGUCUUAACCAUAAACUAUGCCGACUAGGGAUCGGAUGAUGUUAAUUUUUUAAUGACUCAUUCGGCGCCUUACGGGAAACCAAAGUGUUUGGGUUC
rnacentral:rRNA from 1 species